UCCGUCUGCCUCGGGAGAAGAUCCCGCCCGUAUCUACUGAAGAACUAAAGAACUGUGAACAAUCCAAUUGUCUUGGCUCAGCUGACAACACCUGGCAAGGUGGCAAGGUCCCAGAGGAGAAGGAGUCACAGGCUGUGUCAUACACACCAAAGCAAAGAAGAUCUUGGGCAGCUGUACAAGUGUCCCUCAGGGAGAGAGCCCUGUGUACCCAGAGGGCAUGGAAGCUUCAAGGAGAAUUCUUGAGCCAGUGGCUGUGAAAUGGGACAACCCAGCUGCAUCCUGCCUGAUGGUCCUCCCAAACCUGCAACUGCUGGGAGUGGGGUUAUCUCAGAGGCUAUCAGUGUGCGUACAUUAUGACCCUGGAGACACAUACAGUCUUAAGCAAAAAAGGCUGGGAAGCACUGAAUUGAGCAUGGUAGGGUUCAAAAUAGGAAGUUAACUUAUUUAUACCUCUUUUUAUUCUUUUAUUCUUUUUAAUUUUUGUGGGUACAUAUUAAGUGUAUAUAUUUAUGGAAUUCAUGAAAUAUUUUGAUAUAGGCAUAUAUAAUAGGUAAUAAUCCCAUCAGGGUAAAUCACAUCACCUCAUUUAUCCUUUCUUUUUUGUUACAAAUAAUCCAAUUAUACUCUUCUAGUUAUUUUUUAAAUGUACAAUAAAUUAUUGUUGACUAUGGUCACCCUGUUGUGUUAUCAAACACUAGAUAUUAUUUAUUCUAUCUAACUACAUUUUCAUACCCAUUAACAUCCCUACUUCCCCCCAACACACACACACCCUUUCCUGCCUCUGGUAACCAUCAUUCUACUCUUUAUCUUCAUGAGUCCAAUUGUUUUAAUUUUUGUUAGCUUCCACAAACAAGUGAGAACAUGCAAUGUUUAUCUUUCUGCACCUGGCUUAUUUCAC
rnacentral:lncRNA from 1 species